AGAGUUUGAUUCUGGCUCAGAGCGAACGCUGGCGGCAUGCUUUACACAUGCAAGUCGCACGGCCGGCAACGGCAGUGGCGGACGGGUGAGUAACGCGUAGGAUUCUGUCUCCGGGUGGGGGAUAACGGUUGGAAACGACUGCUAAUACCGCAUGAUACCUGAGGGUCAAAGGCGCAAGUCGCCUGGAGAGGAGCCUGCGUACGAUUAGCUUGUUGGCGGGGUAAAGGCCCACCAAGGCGACGAUCGUUAGCUGGUCUGAGAGGAUGAUCAGCCACACUGGGACUGAGACACGGCCCAGACUCCUACGGGAGGCAGCAGUGGGGAAUAUUGGACAAUGGGCGCAAGCCUGAUCCAGCAAUGCCGCGUGAGUGAAGAAGGUCUUCGGAUUGUAAAGCUCUUUCGGACGGGGACGAUGAUGACGGUACCCGUAGAAGAAGCCCCGCGUAACUUCGUGCCAGCAGCCGCCGUAAUACGAAGGGGGCUAGCGUUGCUCGGAAUGACUGGGCGUAAAGGGCGCGUAGGCGGUGAACACAGUCAGGCGUGAAAUUCCCGGGCUCAACCUGGGGGCUGCGCUUGAUACAUGUUCGCUUGAGUUCGGAAGAGGGUCGUGGAAUUCCCAGUGUAGAGGUGAAAUUCGUAGAUAUUGGGAAGAACACCGGUGGCGAAGGCGGCGACCCGGUCCGAUACUGACGCUGAGGCGCGAAAGCUGGGGAGCAAACAGGAUUAGAUACCCUGGUAGUCACGCCGUAAACGAUGUGUGCUGGAUGUUGGGCAGUCUGACUGUUCAGUGUCGUAGCUAACGCGAUAAGCACACCGCCUGGGGAGUACCGCCGCAAGGUUGAAACUAAAGGAAUUACGGGGGCCCGGACAAAGCGGUGGAGCAUGUGGUUUAUUGAAGACAAGGGGCAGAACCUUACGAGGAUUGAACUUGGACAGGCUGUGUGCAGAGAUAAACUUUCCCGCGAGGCCUUGUUGCACAGGUGCUGCAUGGCUGUUUUCAGUUCGUUUCGUGAGAUGUUGGGUUAAGUCCCGCAACGGGCGACACCUUCGCUUUCAGUUGCCAUCAGGUUUGGCUGGGCACUCUGAAGGAACUGCCGGUGACAAGCCGGAGGAAGGUGGGGAUGACGUCAAAUCAUCAUGCCCCUUAUGACCUGGGCUACACACGUGCUACAAUGGCGGUGACAGUGGGAAGCCAGGUCGCGAGGCCGAGCCGAUCUCAAAAAGCCGUCUCAGUUCGGAUUGCACUCUGCAACUCGGGUGCAUGAAGGUGGAAUCGCUAGUAAUCGCGGAUCAGCAUGCCGCGGUGAAUACGUUCCCGGGCCUUGUACACACCGCCCGUCACACCAUGGGAGUUGGUUUGACCUUAAGCUGGUGCGCCAACCCGUAAGGGGGGCAGCCAACCACGGUCGGGUCAGCGACUGGGGUGAAGUCGUAACAAGGUAACCGU
rnacentral:rRNA from 1 species